rnacentral:rRNA from 1 species
UCAGAAACUUAAAGGAAGUUGACGGGGCCCGGCACAAGCGGUGGAGUAUGUGGUUAAUUCGAUGCAACGCGAAGAACCUUACCUGGUCUUGACAUCCCGGAGACCCUUAGGAACUAGGGGUGCUUCCAUCUGGAAGAAUCUGGAGACAGGUGCUGCAUGGCUGUCGUCAGCUCGUGUCGUGAGAUGUUGGGUUAAGUCCCGCAACGAGCGCAACCCUUGCCUUUAGUUGCCAGCAGUUCGGCUGGGCACUCUAAAGGGACUGCCGGUGUUAAACCGGAGGAAGGUGGGGGAUGACGUCAAGUCCUCAUGGCCUUUAUGACCAGGGCUACACACGUACUACAAUGGCCGAUACAAAGGGCAGCGACACUGCGAGGUGAAGCCAAUCCCGUAAAAUCGGUCUCAGUCCGGAUUGGAGUCUGCAACUCGACUCCAUGAAGUUGGAAUCGCUAGUAAUCGUGGAUCAGCAUGCCACGGUGAAUACGUUCCCGGGCCUU